rnacentral:rRNA from 1 species
GACGAACGCUGGCGGCGUGCUUAACACAUGCAAGUCGAACGGAAAGGCCCUGCUUUUGUGGGGUGCUCGAGUGGCGAACGGGUGAGUAACACGUGAGUAACCUGCCCUUGACUUUGGGAUAACUUCAGGAAACUGGGGCUAAUACCGGAUAGGAGCUCCUGCUGCAUGGUGGGGGUUGGAAAGUUUCGGCGGUUGGGGAUGGACUCGCGGCUUAUCAGCUUGUUGGUGGGGGAGUGGAUUACCAAGGCUUGGACGGGUAGCCGGCCUGGGAGGGAGACCGGCCACAUUGGCCUAGGGAAAGGGCCAGGACGCAUUCGGGGGGCAGGAGGGGGGAAUUUGUCCCACUGGGCGGAAGCCUGAUGCAGCAACGCCGCGUGCGGGAGGACGGCUUUCGGGUUGUAAACCGCUUUCGCCUGUGACGAAGCGUGAGUGACGGUAAUGGGGAAAGAAGCACCGGCGAACUACGU